UAGCAGCACAAAAAUAUUGGCA
rnacentral:ncRNA from 2 species